CCUACGGGGGGCUGCAGUAGGGAAUCUUCCACAAUGGACGAAAGUCUGAUGGAGCAACGCCGCGUGAGUGAAGAAGGUUUUAGGAUCGUAAAACUCUGUUGUUGGAGAAGAACAGGGACUAGAGUAACUGUUAGUCCUUUGACGGUAUCCAACCAGAAAGCCACGGCUAACUACGUGCCAGCAGCCGCGGUAAUACGUAGGUGGCAAGCGUUGUCCGGAUUUAUUGGGCGUAAAGCGAGCGCAGGCGGUUUUUUAAGUCUGAUGUGAAAGCCUUCGGCUUAACCGAAGAAGUGCAUUAGAAACUGGGAAACUUGAGUGCAGAAGAGGACAGUGGAACUCCAUGUGUAGCGGUGAAAUGCGUAGAUAUAUGGAAGAACACCAGUGGCGAAGGCGGCUGUCUGGUCUGUAACUGACGCUGAGGCUCGAAAGUA
rnacentral:rRNA from 1 species